GUACAACAAACCCAGGCUCCACAUUGUCUCUUCCACUGGAUUAGGAUUUGGCAGUGGUAUAGCCCCUUCGCCUAGAGUGAUCGUGCCAACCACAACUCGGCAAGCCCUGCUCCCUUUCCUGGGAGUUUCAAGGAGACACGCUGCGGUCUGCCUGCCCCCUCCUGCAGCGUAUACCAGAGGAGUCAGCAAUACUCCAAGGCCUGCUAGUGCCGGUCUCCUUCCAGCGCCCGGCUCUGGGACUCCCUGCCCCUCUUAGGUGCAGGCAGGUCAGACCGAUGUAACGAGUCUUGGCGGUGAGUUUGUGUUGGGCUGGACGGUGAACAGGGAUGAUCUCUGACGGACUCCUGCAGCGAUGGCAGAGGUCCACAUGCGAGACGGAUAUGCUGGCAAACUUGACCCGUUAUCUGGAUAACCACCCUCCCUCUCAGUGAAAACAAGCUUUCUGAUACCAGCGUGAACUCUGUUUUGCCAGCAGAUCUGCGUGUACCCUAGGAGUGCUUUGCUGUCGUGGCUUUUGGGAUUAGGAAAGCCAUUCUGAGGUUCUGCAUUGUCCCAUUUCUACCCCGGGUCCUGAUACCCACCCAAGCGCUGUUGAAACAGACUUCCGCUGGCCCCCAGUGGGUUGUGAUUUGAAGAACUGGAGGCAGAAGCAAGGGAAGCGAGACGAGGAGGUGUCUAGUAGACAGGGCACUGGCCUUACACUCAGGAGACUGGCUUUGCUUCUGAAAUUGUCUGUGACUUUGGAUAAGGAACUGAUUGCUGCUUCACAUCAUCAAAGCCAGAAGUAGAGGGGAUAUAAGUGUGUAGCAGGAGACUCUGGAAAACCACAGAAGAACCUGAGUCCAGGAUAGGAAGAGACAGGACUGGAUAUAGAGGACUAGCAAGAAGUCAUGCUUGCUAGGCUUCUAACAGCAGGAAGAUAUAGAAGGAGAGUUGGAUAUUGGGAAACCUGUGAUGAGGAGAGUUCAGCAUGUUUUGGAAGGAGAAGUUUGGAUUUAUUAUGCAGCAGGAGUAUUGCCUUCUCAAUGUCACUUUCCCAUCUGUCUUGCUCAGCAGUGUUACAAUCUUAGCUGAUCCAUGUGUGCAGUCAUCAGUCAGAUCAUACUGCAUAUUGAUACAACUACAGGAUGCAUCAACUCAACAUUUGGUCAUAUGACAAGAGUUAUAAAUUGAAACAGGGGAAGUUUCCACUUGAUGUAAGGAAAAAAAAUUCACCACAAGGACAGUCAAGUAUUGGAACACAUUGCUGAGAGGGGCUGUGCAGUCUCUGUCCUUGGAAGUUUUCAAGACCCACCCGGGCAAAGCCCUGAGCAACCUGGUCUAAAUCCAAUGUUGUUUCUGCAGAAGGUGAGAAUAGAUGACCUCCUGAGGUCCCUUAUAGUCUGAAUUGUUCUGUGUUUCUAAGAUUGAACAUUUUGCUUCAUGUUAAGAAAAACCGUCCUUUUUUACUUCAUGCAUGUGAAUACCAAGUGGUAUUGAGCAACAUUUUUAAAAAAAAAGCAAAUGGUUCAUUUCAGCUGGUUCCAUAUAAAUACUUUUAAAGUACAUAUAACUGAAGUUAAGGUACAUCCGUGGUUCCUUCAUUUGUACUCAAGGUGAAAGAAAAGCAGUUAUUCAAAUACUAUUAUCAAUAAGAUAAUUUAGUAACUCCCUGGGAUGAAAAUGGGCCUUUAUUAUGCAGACUAAAGAGAUCAGAUUGAUAUUGGGAAGUCACUGUCUUUUGUAGCAAAACUGCAAAGUAUUUUUCCAAAAUGUUUUGGGAAAAAAAAAAAAAGGAUUUUUAUCUCAUGUGCAACAUAUCGGUGGAUUUAAAGCUGCAUGGCGUUGUGAGAAGCAUUUCCUAAAAUUUUAAAAAGGCCCUUUUAUGUGAUGGAAUGAGAUUGAUUGUCCACUGUCAUCCAUUGCAAGAGGAGAAUCAAAUGACAUAGCCAGCUUGAAAACGAAAAAAAGGAGGUGAUUCUUCAUACAAAGUGCAGGUAAGAUGAGCAGUCAGGAGUGAUUUGCCACAGGCUGUUUUGGAUGAUAAACAUUAUGUAGGCUGGAUAGGUUCGCAAAGGAGAUAUCCAUUAGGAGUUACCAAAGAGCACAGCACAGAAACAACAUCUUGCUCAAGAAGUGUCUGUGUUCAUAGCUUCUGGAGGCAAAUAGAGGCAGAGGAAGAAGGGAAGCAGGUGGGGAGUUGGCUGUUAAACUCUUUUCUAGCUCUUGUUCUGUAUUUGAGACAGAAUGCUUGGCUAAGCAGACCUUUGGCUUGACCCAGUACAGCUGCUAUUAGGACCUGGGAUCCACAACACAAUAAUGUUUGUUUAAUUUGGUACUCAUUAGAAAUACAGAAGCCUAUCUUAUCACAGUGGUCUAGUGGUCAAAGUGUGGCAGUUAUAAGCUGACUUUAAUGAGUUCACGCAGCUGACAGAGCAUGAAAGGCUUGCUCCAUGGCAUCAAGGUAAAUUAAUCUCUCCAAAGCAGGAGACUGUUUUAUCUCUCCUGCACAGAUCUAAACAUGCAAUGACACUAAGCAAAUUUUAUUUGAUUUACUUUAUAAUUGCAUGAGAACAGAACUUAUUGCAGGUACUUAGCACUACGAUAACUCGUUUCUAGUCACAUUACCAGAAUAAUUCAAAAUUGAUAGAGUUUCAAAGAAAAGCAGUGCAGAAGUUUCAGGAUUCAAAGUCCUGACUUACAACAAAGAGCUGGAAGAUAAUCCUGCUCUUUAAUUGAGGAUAAACUACAAUGUGAAUUGUUAGAGGAUGAAAAUGUUAAGGAAAAAUUUAUGAUAGUGUAAUAUAAGAGGGAAUUUAAUCUGUAGCUGUUAGAA